ACUUACUCUUUCUCUCUCUUUCUCUCUCUCUUUCUCUCUCUUUGUUUAAGAGAGAAGGUUGGUGGGUGGGGUCAGAAGAACAGAGAAAGACAAAUUCAUUCGGAAUAUGUGUGAGAUGUUGCUGUUGUUGUUGGAGGUGGGUGAGGAGAGAGUCACGAAUGGAGAAAGAACCAAAAGCAAGCUGUGAGGUUUGUUGG
rnacentral:ribozyme from 13 species